rnacentral:rRNA from 1 species
AUUGAACGCUGGCGGCAGGCCUAACACAUGCAAGUCGAGCGAGCGGCGGACGGGUGAGUAAUGUAUGGGGACUGCCCGAUAGAGGGGGAUAACUACUGGAAACGGUAGCUAAUACCGCAUACUAUCGGAUAACCCAUAUGGGAUUAGCUCGUAGGUGAGGUAAUGGCUCACCUUAGCGACGAUCCGUAGCUGGUCUGAGAGGAUGAUCAGCCGCACUGGGACAGAGGCACGGCCCUGCCUCCUACGGAGGCAGCGGUGGGGAAUAUUGCACAAUGGGCGCAAGCCUGAUGCAGCCAUGCCGCGUGUAUGAAGAGGGCCCUAGGGUUGUAGAGUACUUUCAGUCUGUAGGCGUUACCGACAGAAGAAGCACCGGCUAACUCCGUGCCAGCAGCCGCGGUAAUUC